CUCGAUUCCUUUGUUCACUGACCUACUGGCUAAUUGGAUUUUCAAAAUGUGCUGUUAUAGAACGUAAACUUAUUUUGUUCAAUAAUAAAAGAAAUUGGGACCUACAAUCGACGGUAAACAACAGUUUGCGAGGACAACUGGGAAAACACACGAACGGAUCCGGAUUCAAGACAAAAAAGAACAACAAUUCGAUGAUGUGUAUUUGCAUUUGCAUAAAUUACAUUCAUGCAAUAAACUUGUGUAGAAUAAA